rfam:Triticum aestivum genome assembly, contig: Triticum_aestivum_CS42_TGACv1_scaffold_320770_4BL
UUUGUACUCCCUCCGUCCCAAAAUUCUUGUCUUAAAUUUGUCUAAAUACGGAUGUAUCUAGUUACAUUUUAGUGUUAGAUACAUCCGUAUCUAAACAAAUGUAAGACAAGACUUUUGGGAUGGAGGGAAUACUAC